UACAGAGGUGGCAAGCGUUGUUCGGAAUUACUGGGCGUAAAGGGCGCGUAGGCGGCCGGCCAAGUCCCGGGUGAAAGCCCCCGGCUCAACCGGGGAACGGCGCGGGAAACUAGCAGGCUUGAGUUCGGGAGAGGGAAGCGGAAUUCCGGGUGUAGCGGUGAAAUGCGCAGAUAUCCGGAGGAACACCGGUGGCGAAGGCGGCCUCCUGGACCGACACUGACGCUGAGGCGCGAAAGCUAGGGGAGCAAACGGG
rnacentral:rRNA from 1 species